GGGUAUAUAGCUCAAUUGGCAGAGUGUCCGCUUAGCAUGCGGGAAGUUCUGGGUUCGAUUCCCAUUAUAUCCA